UACGUAGGGUGCAAGCGUUGUCCGGAAUUAUUGGGCGUAAAGAGCUCGUAGGCGGUCUGUUGCGUCGGCUGUGAAAACCCGGGGCUCAACUCCGGGCCUGCAGCCGAUACGGGCAGACUAGAGUUCGGCAGGGGAGACUGGAAUUCCUGGUGUAGCGGUGAAAUGCGCAGAUAUCAGGAGGAACACCGGUGGCGAAGGCGGGUCUCUGGGCCGAAUCUGACACUGAGGUGCGAAAGCUAGGGUAGCAAACGGG
rnacentral:rRNA from 1 species